UGCCAGACUCCUACGGGAGGCAGCAGUGGGGAAUAUUGCACAAUGGGGGAAACCCUGAUGCAGCGACGCCGCGUGGAGGAAGAAGGUCUUCGGAUUGUAAACUCCUGUCCUUGGGGACGAUAAUGACGGUACCCAAGGAGGAAGCACCGGCUAACUCCGUGCCAGCAGCCGCGGUAAUACGGAGGGUGCGAGCGUUAAUCGGAAUUACUGGGCGUAAAGCGCUCGUAGGCGGUAUGUCAAGUCAAGGGUGAAAUCCCCGCGCUCAACGUGGGAACUGCCUUUGAAACUGGCAAACUGGAGUGUGUGAGAGGAUAGUGGAAUUCCAGGUGUAGGAGUGAAAUCCGUAGAUAUCUGGAGGAACAUCAGUGGCGAAGGCGACUAUCUGGCACAUAACUGACGCUGAGGAGCGAAAGCGUGGGUAGCAAACAGGAUUAGAUACCCGUGUAU
rnacentral:rRNA from 1 species